rnacentral:rRNA from 1 species
GAUGAACGCUGGCGGCGUGCCUAAUACAUGCAAGUCGAGCGAACAGACGAGGAGCUUGCUCCUCUGACGUUAGCGGCGGACGGGUGAGUAACACGUGGAUAACCUACCUAUAAGACUGGGAUAACUUCGGGAAACCGGAGCUAAUACCGGAUAAUAUAUUGAACCGCAUGGUUCAAUAGUGAAAGACGGUUUUGCUGUCACUUAUAGAUGGAUCCGCGCCGCAUUAGCUAGUUGGUAAGGUAACGGCUUACCAAGGCAACGAUGCGUAGCCGACCUGAGAGGGGGAACGGCCAAAAGGGAAAUGAGGAACGGGCCAAAACCCAAAGGGGGGCAGCAGGAGGGAAUCUUCCGAAAGGGGGGAAAGCAGGACGGGGAAACGCCGGGGGAGGGAAGAAGGGUUUCGGAUAGUAAAACUCUGUUAUUAGGGAAAAAAAAAUGUGUAAGUAACUAGGCACGUUUUGACGGUACCUAAUAAAAAAGCCACGGCUAAAUACGU